CGGUUGAUCCUGCCGGACCCUACUGCUAUCGGGGUGGGACUAAACAUGCGAGUCGAGCGUCUCUAGCUAUUUGAGACGCGGCAUACGCUCAGUACACGUGGCUAACCUACCCUCAGGACGGGGACAACCCCGGGAAACUGGGGCUAAUAUCCGAUAGGCGAGGAAUCCUGGAAUGGUUCUUCACCCAAAGGACAUUGGAAACAUGCUUUCUCUGUCGCCUGGGGAUGGGGCCGCGACCGAUCAGGUUGUUGGUGAGGUAAUGGCUCACCAAGCCUUUAACCGGUACGGGCCAUGAGGGUGGUAGCCCGGAGAUGGGUACUGAGACAAGGACCCAGGCCCUACGGGGCGCAGCAGUCGCGAAAACUCCGCAAUGCACGAAAGUGUGACGGGGCUACCCCGAGUGCCGUCCGCUGAGGAUGGCUUUUCCUUGGUGUAACUAGCCGGGGGAAUAAGGAGAGGGCAAGACUGGUGUCAGCCGCCGCGGUAAUACCAGCUCUCCGAGUGGUAGGGAUGAUUAUUGGGCUUAAAGCGUCCGUAGCCGGCUUAGCAAGUUUCCUGUUAAAUUCAGCGACCUAAUCGUUGAGCCGCGGGAAAUACUACUAGGCUAGGAGGCGGGAGAGGUCGACGGUACUUCUGGGGUAGGGGUGAAAUCCUAUAAUCCCGGGAGGACCACCAGUGGCGAAGGCUGUCGACUAGAACGCGCUCGACGGUGAGGGACGAAAGCUGGGGGAGCGAACCGGAUUAGAUACCCGGGUAGUCCCAGCUGUAAACGAUGCGGGCUAGGUGUUGGGGUGGCUACGUGCCACUUCAGUGCCGCAGGGAAGCCAUUAAGCCCGCCGCCUGAGGAGUACGGCCGCAAGGCUGAAACUUAAAGGAAUUGGCGGGGGAGCAC
rnacentral:rRNA from 1 species